rnacentral:rRNA from 1 species
ACGGAGGGUGCAAGCGUUAUUCGGAAUUACUGGGCGUAAAGGGCGUGCAGGCGGGAGAGCAAGUCUGAUGUGAAAGCCCCGGGCUUAACCCCGGAAGGGCAUUGGAAACUGGUUUUCUUGAGGUCGGGAGAGGGAGGGAGAAUUCCCGGUGUAGAGGUGAAAUGCGUAGAGAUCGGGAGGAACACCAGUGGCGAAGGCAGCCUUCUGGACAGCAACUGACGCUGAGACGCGAAAGCGUGGGGAGCAAACAG